GAUAAACGCUGGCGGUGUGCUUUAUGCAUGCAAGUCGAACGGUACCGAUGAGCCAAGCUUGCUUGGAACAUCGGGAGAGUGGCAAACGGGUGAGUAACACGUAAGUAACCUGCCCCUAAGUAGGGGAUAACUCUGAGAAAUUGGAGCUAAUACCGUAGUGGUGGUGGAGGUAAGGCUUCAUCACUAAAGCCUUCGGGCGCUUGGGGAGGGGCUUGUGUCCGAUUAGCUAGUUGGUAGGGUAAUGGUUUACCAAGGCGAUGAUCGGUAGCUGGUCUGAGAGGACGAUCAGCCACACUGGGACUGAGAUACGGCCCAGACUCCUAUGGGAGGCAGCAGCAAGGAAUUUUGUGCAAUGGGCGAAAGCCUGACACAGCGACACCGCGUGAGGGAUGAAGGCCUUCGGGUUGUAAACCUCUUUUCUCAGGGAAGAAUAAUGACGGUACCUGAGGAAUAAGUCUCGGCUAACUACGUGCCAGCAGCCGCGGUAAUACGUAGGAGGCGAGCGUUAUCCGGAUUUACUGGGCGUAAAGAGGGCGUAGGCGGCUUUUCAAGUCGGGUGUAAAAUCUCCCCGCUUAACGGGGAGGGGUCAUCCGAUACUGUUAAGCUAGAGGGCAGCAGAGGGAGGUGGAAUUCCCGGUGGAGUGGUGAAAUGCGUAGAUAUCGGGAGGAACACCAGUGGCGAAGGCGGCCUCCUGGGCUGUUUCUGACGUUGAGGCCCGAAAGCGUGGGGAGCGAACAGGAUUAGAUACCCUGGUAGUCCACGCUGUUAACGAUGGAUACUGGGUAUAGGGAGUAUCGACCCUCUCUGUGCCGAAGCUAACGCGUUAAGUAUCCCGCCUGGGGACACGGCCGGCAAGGCU
rnacentral:rRNA from 1 species